UUGAGCUAAGAAUAUAAGGGUGGAGCUUUAUGUUCAAUAAUUAAUAAAAGAUGAAUUAAAUAAUUAAUUUUUUUAUAAAUUAGGCUUUUUAGUGGCUAUAUUUUUAAAGUAUUUUAACUAUUAAAAUAUAUUUUUUUUUAUUUUUAUUCUCUUAAAAUUUAUUAGGAUAUGUUUUUUAUUAAAGGAAAAUUAGAAAUAAUGAGAAUAUUAGUAGAAUUUUAAAUAUUAAAAUAAAUAUAUUAAAUUUAGUAAAAAUUUUUAAUAUAAAUAUAAAGAAAAAUUAAAGGAAUUCGGCAAAUUUUUUUUCUUGCCUGUUUAACAAAAACAUGUCUGUAUGAAGUUAUAUAGAGUCUGACCUGCCCGUUGAAUAAAUUUGAAAGGCCGCGGUAUAUUAACUGUGCAAAGGUAGCAUAAUCAUUAGUUUUUUAAUUGAAGGCUUGUAUGAAGGGUCUGACAAAGAAAAAGCUGUCUUUAAUUUUAUUUUUGAAUUUAACUUUUAAGUGAAAAGGCUUAAAUAAUUUUAAGGGACGAUAAGACCCUAUAAAUCUUUAUAUUAAAUUAUUAUCUUGAAUUUUAAUAAUUUGUCUAGAGUUUGUCAAGUAAAAUAAUAAAUAUUUUGUUGGGGUGACAAGAAUAUAAAAAUAACUGUUCUUUAAUAAAACAAAGUUGUUUGUAAUAAAAUUUUGUAGAUCCUUUUUGAAGAUUAAAAGUUUAAGUUACUUUAGGGAUAACAGCGUUAUUUUUUUUGAGAGUUCCUAUCGAAAAAAAAGUUUGCGACCUCGAUGUUGAAUUAAAAAUUCUUUACGGUGUAGAAGUUGUAUGAGAGAGUCUGUUCGACUUUUAAAAUUUU
rnacentral:rRNA from 1 species